rnacentral:rRNA from 1 species
AUGAACGCUGGCGGCGUGCUUAACACAUGCAAGUCGAACGAGAAAUGGAGACGGAAACCUUCGGGCGGAAGGCUUCAUUUCGAGUGGCGGACGGGUGAGUAACGCGUGGGUAACCUGCCUCAUACAGGGGGAUAACAGUUGGAAACGACUGUUAAUACCGCAUAAGACCACAGCACCGCAUGGUGCGGGGGUAAAAACUCCGGUGGUAUGAGAUGGACCCGCGUUCGAUUAGCCAGUUGGCGGGGUAACGGCCCACCAAAGCGACGAUCGAUAGCCGAUCUGAGAGGAUGACCGGCCACAUUGGGACUGAGACACGGCCCAAACUCCUACGGGAGGCAGCAGUGGGGAAUAUUGCACAAUGGGGGAAACCCUGAUGCAGCGACGCCGCGUGAGUGAAGAAGUACUUCGGUAUGUAAAGCUCUAUCAGCAGGGAAGAAAAUGACGGUACCUGAGUAAGAAGCCCCGGCUAACUACGUG